rnacentral:rRNA from 1 species
AUUGAACGCUGGCGGCAUGCCUUACACAUGCAAGUCGAACGGUAACGCAGGGCAACCUGGCGACGAGUGGCGAACGGGUGAGUAAUGCAUCGGAACGUGCCCAGUAGUGGGGGAUAGCCCGGCGAAAGCCGGAUUAAUACCGCAUACGACCUAAGGGUGAAAGCGGGGGAUCGCAAGACCUCGCGCUAUUGGAGCGGCCGAUGUCAGAUUAGGUAGUUGGUGAGGUAAAGGCUCACCAAGCCUUCGAUCUGUAGCUGGUCUGAGAGGACGACCAGCCACACUGGGACUGAGACACGGCCCAGACUCCUACGGGAGGCAGCAGUGGGGAAUUUUGGACAAUGGGCGCAAGCCUGAUCCAGCCAUGCCGCGUGCGGGAAGAAGGCCUUCGGGUU